rnacentral:rRNA from 1 species
ACUCCUACGGGAGGCAGCAGCUAAGAAUCUUCCGCAAUGGGGGAAACCCUGACGGAGCGACGCCGCGUGGACGAUGAAGGCCGUAAGGUUGUAAAGUCCUUUUGCAGGUGAAGAAUAAGCCGGGGAGUGGAAAGCCCUGGUGAUGACGUUAGCCUGCGAAUAAGCCCCGGCCAAUUACGUGCCAGCAGCCGCGGUAAUACGUAUGGGGCAAGCGUUGUUCGGAGUUAUUGGGCGUAAAGGGCGUGUAGGCGGCUCGAGAAGUCUGGUGUGAAAUCGCAGGGCCCAACCCUGCGGGUGCGCUGGAAACUGACGAGCUUGAGUCCCGGGGGGGAAGCUGGAAUUCCUGGUGUAGGAGUGAAAUCUGUAGAGAUCAGGAAGAACACCGGUGGCGAAGGCGAGCUUCUAUUCGAGGACUGACGCUGAGGCGCGAAAGCGUGGGGAGCAAACAGGAUUAGAUACCCUGGUAGUCCACGCUGUAAACGAUGUGCACUAGGCGUGGGGCACGUCGGUGCUCUGUGCCGAAGUCAACGCGAUAAGUGCACCGCCUGGGGAGUAUGCUCGCAAGGGUGAAACUCAAAGGAAUUGACGG